AAUAACUUUGGUUAUUGGUGGACUCAGUCAGGAUUUCCAGAACCUUAGUUGAGAAGAAGAUGGAUUUAUGAGACUGCUAAUCCAAGUUAGAGUGAGGCAGUUGUGAUGGCAUGGGACUGAAUGAACUGCUGAUGGAUGGAUAUGGGCUUUGUUUGGAAUAGUGCUGAUGCUCUAAUGUUCUAUUCUCUGGGUAUAAGGACUACUUUCUAUUAAGCUAUCUAUCACUCAUAACAAUUUAGUAGACUGUGCUCUUGUAAACAGCAAUGAAACAUUUAUCUGCUCCACCCUGACUCACCUUUCCACAAUUCUGAAACUCUUAUUGAGUACUCUUCUUUUCAUGGCAAUACAGUUAUCUGCAUAGAUUCAAUAAGAGUCCAUCCACCUUUUUAACAAGUGGACCAUAAUUGGAAACAUUGGUUAUGCAACCGAGGCUUUGCCUAUAAUGUCAUAUUUGAGAAUGAUGCUCAUUUAAUCAGCUAUGACCAGAUGCUUUAGGCACUAAGGUUGACUUGGUGGGGGCUAAUGCUUACCAAGUCUCUCUUGGGAAGACUGGCCUGGUAACUGGCUUCAUAGGGUUCCCAGCCUUACAGGUGAGUGAGGAAGGUCACUUCCUGGCGGGCUCAGGAAUCUUAGGCCGCUUUGGGGGACCUCGGGAAGAGAGGAAUGCCCAUCAAAUCACUGGGUGCUGCAGGUGAGAAGUGGGGGUGAAUUCUUGGCUUGGCUUCCUACCCUCAAGAGGCUUUGAAAAGUCCAAUCUGAGAUUCUUUAUGAAAACUUUCAGCAAAGCAAAUCUAAAACCUAUGUGGUAAAUUGUCAUUCUUGGUGCAUCUAUGCAAAUAACCAGGCCACAUGUAAUGAGACCAGCCUUAUUUUGUGAUCAAGAAUAACUUCUUUGAGAUUGUGUUUGAUCCUUUAAAACAUGUUUUUUUUCCUUAUCUUUGAGAUUGUGUUUGACCAGAAUGGUAAGAGAGACUGUAGUGAGAAAUUUUGUUUCAAUGGGAAAUAAUAGCUGACUCUCUGGAUGUUCAGAUUCUGAUCCUCUUCAUUGUCUUUGAGCUAUGUUGCACCUUUCUGUAAUCGCUUUUGACUGACUUUGUCUGAUCUAGUAACCAAGCUUUCUCUUUCACUGUGGAAAAGUCAGUUUGGUAUUGAACUGGAUUCUUCCACCUUGCACAGACUGUCAAUCCUUGCCAGGUUUUCAGCUCUUCCAGACCCCUUCAAUAUCUGGCUACAAACUCACCUUCGCCUUCAAACUAAGAUUUCCAUUCCUUCUUCUUUCUUCUUGACUUGGAGUCACUGAGAACUAAAACCUGAUUGCCAGAUUCUUAUUGAGACUCUGAGGUUGCCUUGUAACUGGUGCUUGCCCCCUGGGACUGAAGACUCAUUGCAAGCUCAAGCCUGAGGACUUGUUAUAAGCCUACGACUAGGACUCAUCAUUUCAGCUGACCAUUCAUGGCACAGCUCUUUCCUUGAAUCAACUGCUGUUUGGACUACUGUGGAAGUCUGGUGAAAUUCUCAGGUCACCCAUGCCCUGACUGGAGAGGUAACCAACACUUUGGACAACAUCACCAAAGCAGUCAACAUCAUAACUUCGAAAACCUCAAUGAAAGUUUCCUUGGAGGCUCCACUAAGAUACAGUUUCCACUGGUCGUGAGCAUGGACUCCAGUCUUCAUCCAGGUGUGGAAGCCCUUGCGCUUUGCUGCUCACCUCUUGUCAAGUCCACAACAAUGUGGAUAUUUCAUUUAUUGGAAGAGACAUCAUAGGAAAACUGCUGCUCUUGACUUCAUUGGAAAGGACCUUAUCUGAUCUCUGCGUGUGCCUGCUGAGUACUACUUCCUUCGUGACCAAAAUGCCCGGCUCUGUUUGCUUCAGACUCUGCCAGAUGAAUCCUAUGCAAGAUGCCCAGACUUCAAAAUUCUACCACAACUGAGCUGUGCUGUUCCCUUUCAACAUACGAUUUAACUUAUUUUACAGAAACAACACCAACAAAAGUCUCAGAAAGACUAUUAAUCAGAUCCUGCUUCGUCUUGCUCAGGAGUUUUAUACUCGUCUCUUAGUUGUUUAGGAACCUAUUGUAUUCAUUAAUAUUGAACAAAAGGAAGGGCUGAUAAUGUUGAACUUUACCUAAGGUCUGUGUCACUAGAAAACAAGUGAUGCUUAAGAAAUGCU